rnacentral:rRNA from 1 species
GACGAACGCUGGCGGCGUGCUUAACACAUGCAAGUCGAACGGUGAAGCGCCUUCCUUUUUGGUGGGUGUGGAUGAGUGGCGAACGGGUGAGUAACACGUGAGUAACCUGCCCCCUUCUUCUGGAUAACCGCAUGAAAGUGUGGCUAAUACGGGAUAUUCUGGGUCUGUCGCAUGAUGGGUCUGGGAAAGAUAUUGUUUCGGUGGGGGAUGGGCUCGCGGCCUAUCAGCUUGUUGGUGGGGUGAUGGCCUACCAAGGCGGUGACGGGUAGCCGGCCUGAGAGGGUGGACGGUCACACUGGGACUGAGACACGGCCCAGACUCCUACGGGAGGCAGCAGGGGGGAAUAUUGCACAAUGGGCGCAAGCCUGAUGCAGCGACGCCGCGUGAGGGAUGGAGGCCUUCGGGUUGUGAACCUCUUUCGCCAGUGAAGCAGGCCUGCCUCGUUUGUGGGUGGGUUGACGGUAGCUGGAUAAGAAGCGCCGGCUAACUACGCG